CUUUUCACAAUACAUAGUUUUUAUUUGCUCAUGCGCAUGAGAUAAUGAAUACAUCACAUUAGUUCAGACUUUUUCAAACUAAAUCAUGUAAAAGCAAUUCUUGUUAUUUAUGAGGCAAAAAUUAAAGCCAUCCCGUACUAGAACUCUUAUAAUUUUAUAACGAGACCAAGUCAGACCCGUGUAGAAAAACACCCAGUUUGCAGACAAAUCGGAACAUCUACAAGAUAAGAGAAAUAGAGACUUGCCAAAAAUAUAGUAUGAUAUAAUGUAAAUAAAUUCAAACGACAGAAUCAGAUAAAUGAUUGAUAUACUAAAAUAAUAGGCUAAGUCAAAAACAAUAGACUGCAUGCAACAACCACUGUUUUUGGGACACAGACAUAUAAAGAAUAUUGUAUUGUAAUUUGUCUGACCGCACAGACUUUUCCCUAACCAGGUGUUACAGAUGAAAAACAAUCAGUUAAAAAUCCUAAACUUAUCUGAUUGACAUCGAAACAUACGUGACUAAUGCAUGUACAAAAUAAAUAAAGCACUGAUCUAAUAAAUGAAAGCUCACUACAGUUAACAAC
rnacentral:lncRNA from 1 species